rnacentral:tRNA from 1 species
CGCCGCUUGGGCGGCGGAGGCGCCGACGCCCGGCCGCCGGGCGGGAGAUGAUCUCCCGGAUUCCUCCCGUCCGGCCGGGGAGACGGCGAC